rnacentral:ncRNA from 2 species
UACGGAGGGUGCAAGCGUUAAUCGGAAUUACUGGGCGUAAAGCGCACGUAGGUGGUUUGUUAAGCUAGCCGUGAAAUCCCCGGGCUCAACCUGGGCACUGCGGUUAGAACUGGCAAGCUAGAGUAGGGUAGAGGGGUGUGGAAUUCCAGGUGUAGCGGUGAAAUGCGUAGAUAUCUGGAGGAACAUCAGUGGCGAAGGCGACACCCUGGACUCAUACUGACACUGAGGUGCGAAAGCGUGGGGAGCAAACAGG